rnacentral:lncRNA from 1 species
AUCCGCUUCUACCGAGAAAAAAAAAGAGAAAAAAGAAAUGAAAAAGAAAAAAAAGGUAUCUAUAUAGAGAAAUGAAAAAAUAAUCACUUGCCUUAGAAAUAUACUCAUGCAUUAAUAUGAAUUUGAGUGGAAAAAGAGUCAAGAUUGAACGACACCCCAAAAAUAAAAUUCUUGCACAAAGAAAAACAACAACAUGAAUGCCGAGUGGUAAAACCUUUUGUAAUCCAUUUUGUUGUCUACUCU